rnacentral:misc_RNA from 1 species
GGGCGUACUAGCAGCUGUUGGCUGGGACCGUUCGAAGCUGAAUAUAAGGAGAAGGGGGGGGGAAUUGAGAAUUGGCCCUGGCCUGGUGCUGUACUGGACUCCCAGGACACUGUGGAUGUUAAAUUUCAUGCCACCGCCGCAAUGUUUAGUUCGCCUUGGGGUGUUUGCGCCCCCGCUGUUUCAAGUAUUGGUUCUUUGGUGGUGGCCAUCACCUUGAUUGGUAAUUUUGGGCCUCUUAAGACCCGUUACAUCCAAGGCCCUUGAAUGGGUUCUUGGAUGAAUCUAAAGUGGUGGAUUGAAUGAAUUUGCUGAUCACAGGAAGGGUGUGGUCUUUCACCCGGGCCCAGGGGACCCUUAGAAUCCGCGUCUGCAGCGAAAGUGGGAUGAAUCAUACCGGCUCUCCCCUUUAAAGCCCCUAUAUUUAGUGGUUCCCGUAAACGACACUUUUUACCGGAGAGGAACCUUGGUUAAGCGAUCCGGGGGGCAACACUUGCACCUGGAACAAAAUCCUUGAAG